rnacentral:rRNA from 2 species
GUGCGAGACCGAUAGCGAACAAGUACCGUGAGGGAAAGAUGAAAAGAACUUUGAAAAGAGAGUUAAAGAGUACCUGAAACUGCUGAAAGGGAAGCGAAUCGUAUCCAGUGUCUAUAAUCUGCGGCAUAUUUCAUUGGCGGCGGUGCGCGUGCUUUUGCGUCGGAAGCGGCUUUUGUUGCUCUGUGCUUUUGCUGUGCGUGGUGUUGCUGGUGCCCUGUGUUGCGGUGGGACGUCAGAGUCAGUUUGUAUGCUGCGGGAAAUGGCUGCCGAGGAGGUAGGUCGAGAUUUCGGUCUUGGCUGUUAUAUCUUGGUGGUUUGUUGUCGUGGUUGAGACUGAGGUGCCUACAAUGUGCUUUUGAGUGUACCGGGUUCUCAUUUGGUGGACUGUUUGGAUAGCUUGCUAUGCUUGUGGUUUUUUCAUCGAGUGAUUGAGUCUGGUGGUAACUUGUUGCUGUUCGGGACUUUGA